rnacentral:rRNA from 1 species
UCCUACGGGAGGCAGCAGUAGGGAAUAUUGGGCAAUGGCCGAGAGGCUGACCCAGCCAUGCCGCGUGCAGGAAGAAGGCCUUCUGGGUUGUAAACUGCUUUUACCAGGGAAGAAAACGCGCCUGCGGGCGUAACUGACGGUACCUGGUGAAUAAGCACCGGCUAACUCCGUGCCAGCAGCCGCGGUAAUACGGAGGGUGCAAGCGUUGUCCGGAUUUAUUGGGUUUAAAGGGUGCGUAGGCGGCCCGUUAAGUCAGCGGUGAAAUCCCAGGGCUCAACCCUGGAACUGCCGUUGAUACUGGCGGGCUUGAGUUCGGUCGAGGCGGGCGGAACUGGUGGUGUAGCGGUGAAAUGCAUAGAUACCACCAAGAACCCCGAUUGCGAAGGCAGCUCGCUGGCCCGAAACUGACGCUGAGGCACGAAAGCGUGGGGAGCGAACAGGAUUAGAUACCCUGGUAGUCCACGCCGUAAACGAUGAUCACUCGAUGUUUGCGAUACACGGCAAGCGUCCAAGCGAAAGCGUUAAGUGAUCCACCUGGGGAGUACGCCCGCAAGGGUGAAACUCAAAGGAAUUGACGGGGGCCCGCACAAGCGGUGG